AACGAACGCUGGCGGCAGGCUUAACACAUGCAAGUCGAACGCAUGCCUUCGGGCAUGAGUGGCAGACGGGUGAGUAACGCGUGGGAACCUGCCCCUUGGUACGGGAUAGCUCCGGGAAACUGGAGAUAAUACCGUAUGUGUCCUGAGGGACAAAGAUUCAUCGCCAAGGGAUGGGCCCGCGUCGGAUUAGCUAGUUGGUGGGGUAACGGCCUACCAAGGCGACGAUCCGUAGCUGGUCUAAGAGGAUGAUCAGCCACAUUGGGACUGAGACACGGCCCAAACUCCUACGGGAGGCAGCAGUGGGGAAUAUUGGACAAUGGGCGCAAGCCUGAUCCAGCCAUGCCGCGUGAGUGAUGAAGGCCCUAGGGUUGUAAAGCUCUUUCACCGGUGACGAUAAUGACGGUAACCGGAGAAGAAGCCCCGGCUAACUUCGUG
rnacentral:rRNA from 1 species